rnacentral:rRNA from 1 species
CGGACGGGUGAGUAAUGUCUGGGAAACUGCCUGAUGGAGGGGGAUAACUACUGGAAACGGUAGCUAAUACCGCAUAACGUCGCGAGACCAAAGAGGGGGACCUUCGGGCCUCUUGCCAUCGGAUGUGCCCAGAUGGGAUUAGCUAGUAGGUGGGGUAACGGCUCACCUAGGCGACGAUCCCUAGCUGGUCUGAGAGGAUGACCAGCCACACUGGAACUGAGACACGGUCCAG